UACGUAGGGGGCAAGCGUUAUCCGGAAUCAUUGGGCGUAAAGCGCGUGUAGGCGGUUCCGUAAGUCCGCUCUGAAAGCCCAGGGCUCAACCCUGGGAGGCGGGUGGAUACUACGGAACUGGAGUACGGAAGAGGAGAUUGGAAUUCCUGGUGUAGCGGUGAAAUGCGCAGAUAUCAGGAGGAACACCAACAGCGAAGGCAGAUCUCUGGGACGUUACUGACGCUGAGACGCGAAAGCGUGGGGAGCAAACAGGG
rnacentral:rRNA from 1 species